rnacentral:rRNA from 1 species
GCGGACGGGUGAGUAACACGUGGGUAACCUGCCCAAGAGACUGGGAUAACACCUGGAAACAGAUGCUAAUACCGGAUAACAACACUAGACGCAUGUCUAGAGUUUGAAAGAUGGUUCUGCUAUCACUCUUGGAUGGACCUGCGGUGCAUUAGCUAGUUGGUAAGGUAACGGCUUACCAAGGCAAUGAUGCAUAGCCGAGUUGAGAGACUGAUCGGCCACAUUGGGACUGAGACACGGCCCAAACUCCUACGGGAGGCAGCAGUAGGGAAUCUUCCACAAUGGACGAAAGUCUGAUGGAGCAACGCCGCGUGAGUGAAGAAGGGUUUCGGCUCGUAAAGCUCUGUUGGUAGUGAAGAAAGAUAGAGGUAGUAACUGGCCUUUAUUUGACGGUAAUUACUUAGAAAGUCACGGCUAACUACGUGCCAGCAGCCGCGGUAAUACGUAGGUGGCAAGCGUUGUCCGGAUUUAUUGGGCGUAAAGCGAGUGCAGGCGGUUCAAUAAGUCUGAUGUGAAAGCCUUCGGCUCAACCGGAGAAUUGCAUCAGAAACUGUUGAACUUGAGUGCAGAAGAGGAGAGUGGAACUCCAUGUGUAGCGGUGGAAUGCGUAGAUAUAUGGAAGAACACCAGUGGCGAAGGCGGCUCUCUGGUCUGCAACUGACGCUGAGGCUCGAAAGCAUGGGUAGCGAACAGGAUUAGAUACCCUGGUAGUCCAUGCCGUAAACGAUGAGUGCUAAGUGUUGGGAGGUUUCCGCCUCUCAGUGCUGC